CGAGCUGAUGGACCUGACGAGUUCCUGUGCACACUAUUACAGAGCACAAACCCCCCACCAAUGUAAGGAACCCACAGACUCUGCAUUCCAACUCAAGUGAGGAUGAAGAAAUAAGGGACUCCAUAAGAGAGACCUUUACUUCCAGAAGCUGUGCUUUGCUUUUACUUUUGUUCCAUUCUCAAGUCCCAUAGGUCUAAUCGUACAUGAAAGUGUCACGUCACAACUUGUAUUUUCAUGUAAGUUUAGGAAAGGAAUUGCUCAUGCCUGUACUGGAGGAACCCACUUUUCAUGUCUAUAUGGUAUCUGAGACCUGAGGGUUUCCAAGAGCUGUCAUGUCUCAUACACAUGUAGCCGCAAGAAUUUUGCUUGACACAAAGUUCAUUUUUGGGUUCUGGAACAACAAAUACAUAACAAAAAUAAGUUUAUACUAUACUACAUUUCAAGUCCUACUGAAAACAGAGUUUGCUGCUCAACUUAAUGAUUUGUUUUGUAAUGCCCCGCUGUCUUGCUUAACUAUUUAUUAGAGAAGGGAGGGGCUGGCACAGUCCUAUUUCAAAACACAAUGCUUGUGUAGUCACCGAGGCAGAUAGCCCUCAGGGCCAUGUGCAACUUCUUUAGCCAAGAAGAGAAUAAAAAUACCUUUUAACUGUUUGGGUCUUCCCUAGACCUUCUUUUUCAGGAUCUCUCAGGCUGUCCUCCAGAAACAUUAGGUUGAAUUACCAGUCCUUUCACCUUCAUCGCAUGUACCAACAGCUCACAAAGAGGUCUGUUUGAUCCUUGGAGAAAUAAGACAAAUGAAAUGUGAGCCUACAGAAUCAUAAGACCUCAGCAAGGUCUACAGCAGACUAGGAAAAAUUACAUGGCCGAGCAUUGAACAGUCUGCUCCGGAAAGUGCUGGAGUCCCCCUCUCUGGAGGUAUUAAAGAGAAAUAUCAAGAUGGCACAAAGGGGCAUGGUCUGGUGAGAGAACUUGUUAGAUCAGGCUAAUGGUUGGACUUCGAAUCAUCUUAGAAGGUCUUUUCCAAACUCCGUGAUUCCAUGGUUCUAUGAAAGUGUGCUUUGAAAGACUGCUGAAUAUAUGAAAAUUUGCUUCUCUGAAAGAGUGGUUGAGCAUUGGAACAGGCUGCCCACAGAGGUGGUGGGGUCACUGCCCCUGGAGGUGUUCAAGAAAUGUGAAGAUGUGGCACUCAGGGACAUGGUUUAGUGGGCAAUAUUGGUGGUAGGUGGACAGUUGGACUGGAUGAUCUUAGAGGUCUUUUCCAACCUUAAUUAGUCUAUGAUUCUAUGACUGUAUAAGCAGUUUUAGUGGCAAUUACUUCAAAAUAAUUUAGUGUACUAAUAGACAAUUCUUCAAGUCAAUCUUUUUUUCAUUACUUCAUUCACUACAACUAGCUUUCCCAUCGAAGGAAAAUAUUUCUCUCUUAUCCCUUCAUUCAUUUUCCUUAGUACCUAAGCCUUUGGCUCCCAAGCAUUUCAGCUCCCUGUACACAUGGGCAGCACACUGAACAUCUCCAACUCAUCUGUCUAAAUUUGUCCUAAAUUUGGACACAGAUACACAUGGUCAAAUUCAAUCACACUGCUGAAAAAAACAGGAGAGCAUUUCUGGUCCUACAGGUAAUUAUUAGGCUACAUCAUGGGGCGGCUCAGUAUGCCUGAGCUCAUUUGGCACUUACGUCUCCGAGCUCCAUGGGCUGAAGUGAGUCAGUAGCUUGGUGCCGCGGAUAUUGGAAUGGGCUGUAAUAUGCCUGUCUCAGUGGGCCAGCCAUUUAUUCUGACAAACAUCAAGCCAGAUGCUACCUGAACCCCAGGCUUUCUGAAAGCCUGGGCACUUCUCCAACCCAGGUUGUGCCUUUUAAGCCUUGUAUCCCAUGAGGAAACAAACCCAAGAGGACUGCUGCUAGGUGCUGAAGUCAGAGGAGAGAGCAGUUGACAGUCACAGAGCAAUGUGCUGAUUUUAUCCUCUAUUCAGUGAGGCAAAUAACUAGCAGAGCCACCUGAAGAACAAGGAAAACACUGCCUGUGAAGAGCGUGUGACCAUUUUGGUGCCAAAAGAAUACCGACAAGAGCUGUGAUUUGGAAGAGCGUUGUGAGGUUUUAAAGCAUUUGCCCUUUGAUACCUGUGGAUCACACAAUACAUAGUGAGACCUGAGCAGCUCUAUAGGCUUGCAAUUCCCUAUCUGCAAGACAGAUAAAUGGUAUUCAUCUCUCAUUCCUCCAUGCAACAGGAAUUCCAAGCCCUGGCUCUUCUUAAUAUUCCUUCGUACCUUGGAGCAUCGUGUAUUCUUUGUCUCAUUGUGUCUGUCCCACGCUGUGAUUUCUCUGAAUUUGAUGAUGUUGGUUUCUUGGGCAUAAAAUGACUCAUGACUUCAUACUACAGAUAAGACAUCUUGUGACUUCCAGAUGACUUCAGCUGUCUUCACUUUGCUGUAGGCAGUUCCAAGGGACUUUGCUUCAUACAUUCAGACUUGUGCAUGGCCAUAUGCAUUUAUCACAGCACACAGCAAUUACUGGCACUGCUCUUUGAGGUGCCAGCAACUGCCCUCUUGCUCCAAGUGAAAGGAGUUAAAGACUCAGUUUUGGGCAUGGUGGCUGGGAUUAAAUCACCUCUGACGCACUUCCUUCUGUGGGUGACAGCCAGUUCCUCACUGUGUUUCCAGGUCCUGCACGGAAACCCCUGGGACGGUGAUGAUGGUCUGGUGAUGGCACACUGCUGGCAACAUUCUCUUGUGGUGAACACAGAAAGACCCCUUCCUAAAGCAGACAGCAAAGAAAACCAGCAGUAUCACCUCAGUCUGCUCAGCCUGCUGAUUAAAGGACUGGGAAUAUGGAAAGAGGGAAAACGGGUGCUGCUGGCUGCAUGCAAACACCAGAGUGCUACAGCACUCUACCUGGAACUCUCUGCAGGUUUGCUUUCAGCUGGGACAGUUAUUUAUUUUUUUUCAUAGUGUCUAAUACCAUGCUAUGUUUUGGCUUUGGGAGAAAACAAUGUUACUACCACAUGUUUUUGUUCUUGCUGAGCAGUGUUGUACAGAACCAAUGAUGUUUCAACUUCUGGUACUGCGCUGUCAGUGACGGGGGCUUCAGGGCACAGCAGACAGACCACGACAGCUGACCUGAACUGGCCAAAGGGAUACUUCAUGCAGUAUAGCAUCACGUGAAAAUACUGUAAAACUGAGGGAAGUUGGCUGGAUGGGUAACCACUGCUUGGAGACUGACUGGGCACCAGCUGGUGGGUGAUGAGCAAUUGCAUUGUAAAUCACUUGUCUGGUAAAUGCAUAUUAUUACCAUUACUAUUAAUAUUUUCCUGGACAAUCCUUUAGAAAUUUUGAACAACCUUAUGCAGACUACAAAAAUUACAGUAUCUCACUGUCUGCCAAACAGCAAUAACUACCUACAGGGCAAGUCCUGACACAGCAGAAGGAAUGAUUUGAAACUAUUCCUAAAUAGAAAACAUCUGAACACUAAAAAUACGACUCUAUAUAUUCUUAUAGAUACCUGUAGUUCUUUCCAAUUCUGAAAUUACAAGGUCAUCUGACUUUAAAUCUCAUUUAAGCCAUUAAAUCUCACUCACUCAUAAAUCAAAUGUCUUGGAUUCAAUCAAAAAUACGAGAAACUCAUCCUAUCUUGAGCUGAAGAAGCGAAGGGGGAGGGAACCCACUCUGUCCCCUGUGUUUUGUCAUGGUUGAUCAUAUUUUAUUGUUUAGAAAGUAAACUCUGAUUUUUAAACUGAAUCCACUGUUUGAACAUCCAGCUACCAGUUUUGGCUACAUCUUCAUGUAUUUUUCAACAUAGUAAUCACCAUUAGCUGAUUUGUGUGGAUGAGCUGAUUGACACACUCUUCAUUCUGUGGGGCAACAGCUCUGCAUGGCUGUCCAGAAUGUGGCUUAUCUUUCACAUCAAUGUCACCGCUGCUGAAAUGCACCACCCACUGCCUCACUGUGCUCACAUCCACUGGUUGGUCUCCACAAACAUUCAGCAAGCAUUGAUGAAUGUCAGUAGGAGCCAUUUUUUCUGCAUGGAGGAAUUCAACUCCACACCAUUACUUCACAUGCACUUUGAUUUGUCAGAUGGCCCCUCUGCUGCCACCUGUCACGUGGCAACAAAAUGUAACGGGAUAUUGGUGGGAAGGUUCAGCCUCUACUGUCACACCACCAACAUUCACCUUGGAUGUCAUGGGCCAAUAUAAUAAAGUAGAAGGUGUUACUUUUGGAGCAGUCAUCAUAUAAAUACUUUCAUAUUUGGACACGUUAAGACAUAACUUAUUUAAAUUGUUCGAUUUCCAGACUAAUCCAGCCUAUGUGAUUGUUCUGCAUUAUUGUACUUCUUCUCAUUACUCACCCAGCCCACCACCACUGUUAAAACGACAAUAUUUUUAGAUGGAGGUGUUGAGCCAGAUACCGUAACUAAGCCUUGACCUCUAUGAACAAUCCAGCUUUGGUUAUUUCUUCAGAUCCAUUAGCCCAUCAGCUUUUAAACCAUUAAAUAUGCUGCACUGACGCUAAGUGAGACUAAGUGAGUAGUAUGAAGCACUCUACCAAAGUUCACUCUACACAGUUUUGUUCUCAAGCUUCUUACCUACGCAAGUGAUGAAGAUAUACUUGUCAAGAUCUUUUGUCCCUAAGCCAUACUUACUGGUGUUAGUUAUAGUCUUAUCCUUUUAUUCCUUAUCAAAGAAAUCUUGUGUUUUCUUAUCCAUUAUUUUAAUGAGGACUGACUUUAACACGAUGGGCUGCUUUACUAGUACCUGACUCAUCUUGCUUAGCCAAAUGGGAACUGGUCCUGACACUGCUCUUUCUGAAACGUUUUGAGAUGUACAUUUAUUACACUAAAUGGACCAUCUAUCUCCUCCAGUGACAGAGGCAGGCAGGAGUGUAUUUUUAAGAAGGUACCACUCUACACUUGCCUAGUGAAAAGUACAAGUGUAGGGCAUUUUCUACUUGUCACUGUCCAGAAAUACCUUAUGAGGUCUAACAGACCUUUGAUCUGGCAGCCUUUUCUUUAUUAUGAUUACUUAUAAGACUCCAGGGUUAUCUGGAACUGCUGAUCGAAUAAUAUACAUAGAAUGAUUUCUCAUCCCUCAUACUUCAUUUUUAGACACCCUUUUACAAGGAAUCCUUUUCAGUAUAACUAUCCCAAAUACACUGUGCAUGAAAAAUGCUCCUAGUACAGUUGUAGCUUAUACUGUAAACAACCACUUUGGUUAUUAAGAUUUAUGCCAUACUUCUUCCUAAGUAAAAUAAUUCUAAUAAUGGAAUUAGCCUUGCUGACAAACCUAUCCCAGCAAAAGUUCACAAUUUAAAACCUGCCCAGUGCUUGUGCACUGAAAACAGCUUUAUUUAAUCUCCAUGAACCACAAACACAUCUAGCUAUUGCUCCUACUUUGAAAAUGAGAACACUUAACUCCAGCACCCCUCUUUCAUCUGCUGAUGGAAAUACACCUUUGCUUAAACCUGCUGUUCCUAAUGUACUACAAAGCUCUUUGUCCUCUACUUUCCGUGUCAAGAGCAGUUUCAGUAGCCAUAGCAAGCAGUAAAAAAACAAGAACACAAACACUCAGAGGUCUAGGGUUUUGAAGUCCACAUUUGUUCAAAAGAGAUGUAGUCUUUGCUAUGUACCGUGGGUUGCUUAGGUGAAUAGCAGAGAUGUCACUAAUAGAAGUAUUUCAUUCUUCCUGUGUAUCACUAAUGAUUUAGCAGAGUACUCUGGUUUUCACACAUACAAGUUUUUAUAUUUAACUACAUCAAACUUCUGACUGUUACGUAGUUAGUUUCAAAAGUACAUCGCACUCAGCUAACGUGAAAAGAUAUAUUUCUCCAAUUAUUUCUUUCAGUAAGUUAGCAGCUACUAGUUACGAAGUAAACCUUUCUACCACCACUAUAAGCAACUUUCUUUAUUUUCCUUAUUUACUUAUUUUUAAUUAAACAAUUUCAGGUUAAGUAUUGAGACAAGAACAAUAUUAAUAACCAAAACAGAAAAGAAAAGAGUUUAGACCCUUGGAUAAGAAUAUUUCCUCUCCACUAAAAGGUUUCAAAUAUAAAUGGGAAGACACAAAAAUUUAUUUGUACAAGGGCUGCUCUGAAAGUAACACCUCCCAUUUUAUUACGUUGGUCCAUGAUGUCAGAGGUGGAUGUUGGUCAUGUGGUAUUAGAGGCUGAACCUUCCCACCAAUAUUAUAUUACAUUUUGUUGUCAUACAAUAGGUGGCAGCAGAAGGGCAGUCAGUCAAAACAGCGCCUGACAUGGAAGCGCAUAUGAAAGAAAAGCGUAAACAAUUGCACCCAUUGAUAUUCAUUGAUGCUUGAUGAAUAUUUACGGAUACCAAAAGGUAUGUCAACACAGUGAGGUGGUGGCUGGUGCAUUUCAGCACUGGUGACAGCAACAGUGUGUCACCUCCACUGCUGCAGAUUUUUACAGCUGCAGCAUGCAGGUUCUUCUUGCUGGUAAAAAUGCAUAGCUCAUGCAGGUGACUAUAUUAAAAACAGUGUUUUGUAGUUGAGAAUUUGGUCUAUCAAAUGGUGGCACUGUGCUCCUUAUAUGUGUGGUACUUACCAUGGAAGCAAAUAGGAGGCAUUACCUUUGGAGCAACCUCCAUAGAACCGCUAUGAAAGUAUAUUAGCAGAAGACCACUCCGUGAGAAACUAGAAGAACCCCCCCACUUCCCUUCCUAACCCAGCCUUUAAUUUUUUCCCCCUUACUGUGGCUGCAUAGGAAAACCUUGAAUAUGUCAACAGGCUCAGAAUAUUUUUUGUACUUGGCAGCUGAUUUAACCCAAAAUUGAUGACUCAUCACCAGUCGAUGGGUUUGUCCACCAUGAAAGGAAACAUCAUAAUCUCACUGGCUGAUAAAACAACUCAGUACGGCUGUAGAUAAAAAAGCAAACAGAUCUUACAUAAAGGCCUACAAAGCAGCCAACAGAAAGUUGACUACCCCAAACAUAGUGUCUCAUUUCUGUAACUUAGAGCAGUUAACAAUGGUAGAGCUAGAGCUUCAGAAAUUGGGUAGUGUUACUUGGACAUCUGUAUUUGUUAAGCAUGUUGUUGAUAACCAGGAAAUAAGGCACAAGAUAGACAGGAAGGAACUGAGACUGAAAAUGGCUUUUUACUCAUUUUUAGAAUUUGUCUGCACACAAAUUGUCAGUGACGUGGAUGCAAGCAUUAACAGCUGUAGCAAUGCCCAGCCACACCAGUUUUUCAUGACAUAUAGAGCUGGUAAUAUGCACAUUUACUCUUUUUGAGAAAACUAAGAUGGAACCUGAGCAAAACAGCGUAAUGAACAAUGUAUUAAUGAAGUCUCCAAGUAAGAAAUUACUACUACAUAGCUUUGGAAUUAACCCAGUGACAACUGAGUUUGAGUAGAAUUCAAAAGGAUAUUUCAGCAAAAGCCACAAGCUCAGUUGGUGAGAGCAAAGUCACAUAUAGCAAGGUUACCUACUGCUGAGUGACAGACACUAAAACAAGUUUUAGGGAAAACUAAAGACACACUGGACCACAGGUAAAAUGAGAAUCAAAAGGUAAGGGCUCUGUUUGUAGGCUCUGAAACAACUGAGCUACAAACUAACAUAGAAGCUAUCCUCUGUCUCUGUAUUAAAACUAACCCAAUCUCACCUCUAACUGAAGUCUGAAAUCCUAUUGUUUAUGAUGUAUUUUUUACCAUUUGUCUACUGCACUCCAAAAAGUGCAAGUUACAUAAACAUCUGUGCAAAUACAUCACUGUAUGUUUUUAUAAUGUGGUGCAAACACUCUUAUUUUAUCUACAGUUUUCAAGCAUGUUCCUGCUCUUGGACUCCCUCAUUACAUGUGAGAGAAGAAAUGGCUGUGAGUAUCAGUUGUGAAAACGGCUUCCUUUCUGGCAGCUCAAGAAAUGGGAGUUCCCCCAUUCCUGAUCAUGCCGGGCUUACAGGCUGGCAUGAGAAACAUUAGUAGCUGGGGAUAACAUUUAGGUGAUGAAUAGAUGAGGACAAAUAGUCUCUCCUUAAUGACCCAAAAGCUGCUGUUACCUGACUCUUGAGCAGCAAGGAAAAAGAAGAUAGAGGUGGAAUGGUUAUAUGCUGACAGGAUGAAUAACCAAGAAUGACCAGAAAAAAAAGUUAAUAUUCAUAUGUUCACAAGACAUCUGGCGAUAUGCCUCCCAGUGACAUCAUAGCUUUUUUGACAUCUCUCCUUCCAAUGACCUAACGUUUGGAUAUGCUGAAUAUUUGAGGGUAACUUGCCACAUAUUCUGGACUUCCAUUCCUCAGCUGAAUGACUAAUUUGUAUGUGCUCAGAACUAAACAGUUUGUGGGAUGCCCUGCUGUUCAUUAUAAUUUUCUAUGCACUUUGAAUUUGUUGGGGAAAAAAAAAAAAGGCUUCAAAAGCAUAGAGGCAUGAAAAUGGAAGGAACCUCUGAAGAACAUCUGGUCCAAUUCCUGCUCAGAGCAGGGUCUCAAGCUACAGCAGGUUGCUUGAGGCUUUGUGCAGUUCUGUUCUGAGCAUCCCCAAAGAUGAGCGAAUUCACCAGUUUGAUCAACUUCAAGGUAUUUUUUUCCUUCUUAUAUCUCAAUUUGUGCCACCACCUCUCACUCUGACACUGAACACCCAAUGAGUAACAUUGGCAAUGUUGUCUUCACUCCCCUCAUGAGGUAUUUAAGGUAAAAUCCUCCUGAGCCACCUUUUCUUCAGCCUGAACAGUUCCAGCUCUUUCAGUCUCUCCUCAUAUAUCAAAUGCUCCAGUACCUUAACCAUUCUAGUGGCCUAUCUUCUAUGAAAUACUGUAUAAUAAAGGCCAUUAGAGGCAAGCCCCAGCCACAAAACUUACCAAUGCACAUGUGAUAAACAAUAAAUACUUUGACCUUUUAAAAAAAUGCUUAUAUGAGAUCUCACUUGCUGUUGAUUAUGAAUCAGUGAACAUCUUUCUCUGCUCUUGCCUCCUCGGCCUCUUUCAUCCUAACAAGAAUAUUAAUUUAUUUUACAUUUAUAUCACACUUAUGGUGAAAACUAACAAUUCUUUUUAAGGUAAUUAUUUUAGAAACCUGUCCUGCAAUACAAGGUUGCACUGAUUCUAUAAAAGUUUAACUAAAACUCUGGUGAAGUAAAUAGAUUUGUUUUUGAAGCGUAAUGACUUCUCCUCUGUUCACAGUACCAUGGUCAGGGUACACAUUUGCCAUGUAAGAAUUUCACAAGCAAUCCCAAAUUACUUUUAAAGCCUGUGUGUUAGGACAGGAAAGACUACAGCACAAGGGUACAGCUGAGUCAGUGCUGAGCCCAAAGCAUAGACAUGCCCAACAUAAACAUUGUGUGUGUGCUGCUCACAGCCAGAUAAGUCACGCAUGCAUCAGUUGAUAAGCGUGACAGUCAGUUUACUUCCAGUUUACUUCAAUGGUGAGAAUAGCACAAGAAGCAGUCUCCUCAAGCCCUGAUCACAUAAUUACAUGAAUUUACCUCCUUGUUGCCAUAGGGCUGCUUGUGGUGUGUAAUUUCUAAUAGCUGGAACACUCUAGGCUGCAUCUCUCAUGGAUCAACAGUGACUGUUUUCUUGAAAAACAAAAGAAAAUCUGAUUAACUUUUAGGACAAGGAGCAGAAAACACUGCCAGCCAAGCACAUCGCUUUUGACAGAACAUUCCUCCAAACGUUCUGCAGUCUAUGAAAGGAGACCCUUUCCCCACUUUCUUUUUCCCCCAUUUCUGUCUCCUUGCAUGAGCAGCACUGGGCCAAGGCACCACAGCUGCCUUUUACAAAAGUGCCAGUAGCCCUGGGGGUAGCACCGUUCCCAAUUCGUGUGGGAGCCACUUUCCCCACCAAAAUCUGGGGCCCCUCUGCUUAACUGUUGUUAUUACUGUUAGUAAUACUUGCAGGGUGCAGCCAUACCCGCUGACACAAGACCACCCGAAGCCCGAGGCCCCCUAACACCCAUCGCUCCAUCUCCGCGCCCCAAAAUCCCCCCAUAUCCGCACCCCGGGACGCCUCGGCCAGGCCGGCGGCAGAGCGGGGCCCGCCGGGCCGCACCACAACAAGGCCGGGCCGGGCCACGGGCCUGCACCGCGGGAUAGCGGCCUUAGGGCGGGGGAGGCUCCAGUAUGGAGGGGCCGGGUCGGGUGGGGGUCCCCGGGACCGCCGCUCCGCUCCGGGGACGCACGCAGAGCCCCGAGCGGCGCUUGGCGGCCGAG
ensembl:lncRNA